CCUACGGGAGGCAGCAGUAGGGAAUCUUCCGCAAUGGACGAAAGUCUGACGGAGCAACGCCGCGUGAACGAUGAAGGCCUUCGGGUCGUAAAGUUCUGUUGUUAGGGAAGAACAAGUGCUAGUUGAAUAAGCUGGCACCUUGACGGUACCUAACCAGAAAGCCACGGCUAACUACGUGCCAGCAGCCGCGGUAAUACGUAGGUGGCAAGCGUUGUCCGGAAUUAUUGGGCGUAAAGCGCGCGCAGGCGGUUUCUUAAGUCUGAUGUGAAAGCCCCCGGCUCAACCGGGGAGGGUCAUUGGAAACUGGGAAACUUGAGUGCAGAAGAGGAAAGUGGAAUUCCAAGUGUAGCGGUGAAAUGCGUAGAGAUUUGGAGGAACACCAGUGGCGAAGGCGACUUUCUGGUCUGUAACUGACGCUGAGGCGCGAAAGCGUGGGGAGCAAACAGGAUUAGAUACCCUGGUAGUCCACGCUGUAAACGAUGAGUGCUAAGUGUUAGAGGGUUUCCGCCCUUUAGUGCUGAAGUUAACGCAUUAAGCACUCCGCCUGGGGAUACGGUCGCAAGACUGAAACCUCAAAGGAAUUGACGG
rnacentral:rRNA from 1 species